GAGCGAGAUGAGGUAAUUAUUGAAGAAUGCUUUCAUGAAGAAGUCACACCGAAUAAGCAAUCUGAGGCUUUUCCUACAUAUGAUGAUGGAUUUCUGCCAGAUCCUUCAUCUGCUAUAGUUUUGUACCAACAACGGCCUUUAGUCUGGAUUGAAGAGACCUUUCGAACCGAGGAAGCUCGACAAGAUGAUGUCACAGAGAAGGUGGCUAGGACAAAAGAGGAUUCAAACAUAUCUAACAAAGAUGAUUAUGAGAAGCCUUCGACAUCUUCGCAUGUUUGCCAACCUAGUAAUGAAAUCAUUGUCAUCGAGGAUCCGAAUUCUGAAUUGCCUGUAGGAAGGGGGCAUCGAGUUAAGAGAAGAGCAGUCGUGCUGCUUUCU